rnacentral:rRNA from 1 species
UACGUAGGUGGCAAGCGUUGUCCGGAUUUAUUGGGUUUAAAGGGUGCGUAGGCGGUCUAUUAAGUCAGUGCUGAAAUAUCCCGGCUUAACCGGGAGGGUGGCAUUGAUACUGAUGGACUUGAGUGCAGUCGAGGUAGGCGGAAUUGACGGUGUAGCGGUGAAAUGCUUGGAUAUCGUCAAGAACACCGAUAGUGAAGACAGCUUACUAGACUGUAACUGACGCUGAGGCACGAAAGUGUGGGGAUCAAACAGG